rnacentral:rRNA from 1 species
UACGGGGGGAGCAAGCGUUGGUUCGGAUUUACUGGGCGUAAAGGGCGGGUAGGCGGCCACCGCAAGUCGACUGUGAAAUCUCCGGGCUUAACCCGGAAAGGUCAGCCGAUACUGCGGGGCUAGAGUGCAGAAGGGGCAACUGGAAUUCUCGGUGUAGCGGUGAAAUGCGUAGAUAUCGAGAGGAACACCUGCGGCGAAGGCGGGUUGCUGGGGCUGACACUGACGCUGAACUGCGAAAGCUAGGGGGAGCGAACGGG